UACAGAGGUUCCAAGCGUUGUUCGGAUUCAUUGGGCGUAAAGGGUGCGUAGGUGGCGCUGUAAGUCGGGUGUGAAAUUUCGGAGCUUAACUCCGAAACUGCAUUCGAUACUGCGGUGCUCGAGGACUGGAGAGGAGACUGGAAUUCAUGGUGUAGCAGUGAAAUGCGUAGAGAUCAUGAGGAAGACCAGUGGCGAAGGCGGGUCUCUGGACAGUUCCUGACACUGAGGCACGAAGGCCAGGGGAGCAAACGGG
rnacentral:rRNA from 1 species